rnacentral:rRNA from 1 species
GAUGAACGCUGGCGGCGUGCCUAAUACAUGCAAGUCGAGCGAACAGACGAGGAGCUUGCUCCUCUGACGUUAGCGGCGGACGGGUGAGUAACACGUGGAUAACCUACCUAUAAGACUGGGAUAACUUCGGGAAACCGGAGCUAAUACCGGAUAAUAUAUUGAACCGCAUGGUUCAAUAGUGAAAGACGAUUUUGCUGUCACUUAUAGAUGGAUCCGCGCCGCAUUAGCUAGUUGGUAAGGUAACGGCUUACCAAGGCAACGAUGCGUAGCCGACCUGAGAGGGUGAUCGGCCACACUGGAACUGGGACACGGUCCAGACUCCUACGGGAGGCAGCAGUAGGGAGUCUGCCGCAAUGGGCGAAAGCCUGACGGAGCAACGCCGCGUGAGUGAUGAAGGUCUUCGGAUCGUAAAACUCUGUUAUUAGGGAAGAACAAAUGUGUAAGUAACUAUGCACGUCUUGACGGUACCUAAUCAGAAAGCCACGGCUAACUACGU